rnacentral:tRNA from 1 species
GUGGUGUAGAGCGCGCCUUGGUCGGUGCUGUAUUCAAUACGGCCGAAGAGGUUGUCGUAGGUCGGGUGCGGCUCGAACACCACC